AAAAAAAAACCUAGCCCUCUUUUCCUUUAUUUCAUGGUGGUGCCGGCGGCAAGGACAAGUGGAUCUUCUUCUCGAGAGUUGAUUUGCUUCUUUCAAGGGCAUGCCAAAGGUGUAAGGUUUGAGAGUAUUUUUGGGCGUUAAUCAGAUCAGGAGUAGAGGUCAGUGGCAAAUAGCUUAGCAAGGAUCGUUGGGCCAUCGCCGUUUUAUUUAGCUUGUAAUAAGUCCCGAUUGUUGUGGGCCUAGGUUU